rnacentral:rRNA from 1 species
CCUACGGGCGGCAGCAGUGAGGAAUAUUGGUCAAUGGCCGGAAGGCUGAACCAGCCAUGCCGCGUGAAGGUCAGUGCCCUAUGGGCGUUAAACUUCUUUUGUGCGGGAGCAAUAAUGGUCACGUGUGGCCAGACGAGAGUACCGUACGAAUAAGCAUCGGCUAACUCCGUGCCAGCAGCCGCGGUAAUACGGGGGAUGCAAGCGUUAUCCGGAUUUAUUGGGUUUAAAGGGUGCGUAGGCGUUGAGGUAAGUCAGCGGUGAAAUGCCCCCGCUCAACGGGGUGAAGUGCCAUUGAUACUGCCUGGCUGGAAUGCGGAUGCCGUGGGAGGAAUGUGUGGUGUAGCGGUGAAAUGCAUAGAUAUCACACAGAACACCGAUUGCGAAGGCAUCUCACGAAUCCGCGAUUGACGCUGAUGCACGAAAGCGUGGGUAUCAAACAGGAUUAGAUACCCCUGUAGUC